rnacentral:lncRNA from 1 species
ACGCUGAACAAUUCAGAUUAUCCAAAUUUAGUGCAGUGUCACUUGUUCGACACAUCCAAAUUAAAUUUACAAUCACUACGAAUUAUUAAUCAUCCAGUUCACAUUUGGUGCAAUUUGCACAUACUAUACUUAACAAGAUAAUUCAAGGUAAGCGCACGGUGAGCUUGUGGAGAACAUUUUUCUGAUUUUCACCCAUUUUGUCUGUGCCUCUGAAAGAUUAAGUAGGACAUUUGUCAUGAUUGAAGGUGAAAUUUUUUCUGUAUGCACCCUUCAUAUGAUCUGACUUUUUCCCCUUGUAGUACUUCUUAGUUGUUCGCCGAUCAAUAACUCUUGAUCGUGAUCAGUUCUGCGUGCUCUUUUGAACAACAACCAUAUCAGCCUGUAAAACAACAAAGUAUAUAUAAACUAAUUAUGUUCUGCACAAAAUAUCAAAGCACUUAGGACCACACUUUAAGAACUUAACCAAGACUAUAAACAAUCAACUAAUGGAACCAAGCAAACAAAUUACAAAGCAAUUUCAAAAGAAAUUACCCUAUAUCUUUCAAAAAUUACAACACUUACCUCUUAAAUUCGUUGAGCCACACUACUACUCACUGUCGAAAAUAAUCCUUCACGUGUUCUUCUAACUGAAGAUUGUGCUCGAACAAUACUCCCCUCCAACACUGCCCUUUUAUUCCCACUAUUGCCAAUAUUCUUCCCCAAAGUAACAAAUUCGUCUUCUCCCUUGCUUAACUCCAUUCUUUUCAGCCUAUUAUCAUUCAUUCUUGGACUGCGGACAUCUAAACUGCAGGACUUCCUCAUUCGAUCUGCAGAACACGUAACAAAAGCGAGGAAUCUACAGAAUCAAAUACCUAAGAUAAACCGAUGACUGUCUUAUUGUCAAAAAACCUACUCCUAUUGAUAUACAUUUAAAGCACUUAAGGAGCAUAAAUACAUGAUAUUAAAUCCACCAACACUAAUCUUUAAUGCAACGUGUGAAACUUAAAUUGGUAAACGAUUUCAAGACGAAACUGCAUUAUACUUUAAUCUCGCAAAAACAAAUCCACACUUUCGAAUGCAAAACUCAUUCAGAAAGCUUGUUAUCUGCUGGUUCAAUAGCUUCUUCGUUAAGAAUGCAGGACCUAUUUUGUGUCCUGUUAAAAAAACAUCAAAAAAGUUCCACCCACGCAUUCAACUUGGUAAGAAAAACAAGGUUAGAUAACCUAGUGCCAGACAGAAAACACUAUUGUCCCGCACAUCUUGAUCUUUCAAACAUUAGAUUAACAUUGAUUUAAAACCCAAAAAUGGAAAAUGUUUCGCAUCAACAAUGUAUAGAACCUUUACAAAAUUGAAUUGCAUCUGAAGAGCGAACAUAAAUUUGUCAUGUAACACCAACCUAUGUUCUGCACAUUUAUAAAAUUCAUUAUUAAUUAACCAGGAAAACACUACAUGACAACAAUUUAAAAAAGGGAUGAAGUGCCAUUACUGUCAUGCAAUCCCUUUUAUGUCCAAACCAAAAAAAAAUGCAAUCGGCCCUAAUCAACCCACUUCAGAGCAUUAGUAAUCUCAGAUUAAGAAAGAACACCAUUUAUCUAACUCAGAUCGGAUCUUAAAUAAAGAGAUAAAUAAAGAGAAGACACAAGUGCAUACCCAGACCCAUUUUCGACUCUGUUGUCAUUUGUUCCGCACUACUUUCUCUAAUGCCAGUCAACACAAAUUCAAUGUACUACGAAGAACAAAGAAAGUACUGGAUUAUACCUUGCACUAUGGUUUCGCAGGAGAGAUGAUUGCGGGAUAUAGAUUACCACUUAAUGCGGACAUA